GAUCCUGGCUCAGGAUGAACGCUAGCGACAGGCUUAACACAUGCAAGUCGAGGGGCAGCACAGGUAGCAAUACCGGGUGGCGACCGGCGCACGGGUGAGUAACGCGUAUGCAACUUACCUAUCAGGAGGGGAUAACCCGGCGAAAAGUCGGACUAAUACCGCAUGAAGCAGGGGCCCCGCAUGGGGAUAGUUUGGACUAAAGAUUUAUCGCUGAUAGAUAGGCAUGCGUUCCAUUAGGCAG
rnacentral:rRNA from 1 species